UUAAGUUAAUAAGGGCGCACGGUGGAUGCCUUGGCACUAGGAGCCGACGAAGGACGUGACAAACGACGAUAUGCCUUGGGUAGCUGUAAGUAAGCGAUGAUCCAGGGAUUCCGAAUGGGGGAACCCAACAGGUAAUACCUGUUACCUACAUCUGUUAAGGAUGUGAGGAGGAAGACGCAGUGAACUGAAACAUCUAAGUAGCUGCAGGAAGAGAAAGCAAAAGCGAUUGCCUUAGUAGCGGCGAGCGAAACGGCAGAAGGGCAAACCGAAGAGUUUACUCUUCGGGGUUGUAGGACUGCAAUGUGGACUCAAAGAUUAUAGAAGAAUGAUUUGGGAAGAUCAGCCAAAGAGAGUAAUAGCCUCGUAUUUAAAAUAGUCUUUGUACUUAGCAGUAUCCUGAGUACGGCGGGACACGUGAAAUCCCGUCGGAAUCUGGGAGGACCAUCUCCCAACCCUAAAUACUCCCUAGUGACCGAUAGUGAACCAGUACCGUGAGGGAAAGGUGAAAAGCACCCCGGGAGGGGAGUGAAAUAGAACCUGAAACCGUGUGCCUACAACAAGUUCGAGCCCGUUAAUGGGUGAGAGCGUGCCUUUUGUAGAAUGAACCGGCGAGUUACGUUAUGAUGCGAGGUUAAGUUGAAGAGACGGAGCCGUAGGGAAACCGAGUCUGAAUAGGGCGCCUUAGUAUCAUGACGUAGACCCGAAACCAUGUGACCUACCCAUGAGCAGGUUGAAGGUGCGGUAAGACGCACUGGAGGACCGAACCAGGGCACGUUGAAAAGUGCUUGGAUGACUUGUGGGUAGCGGAGAAAUUCCAAACGAACUUGGAGAUAGCUGGUUCUCUCCGAAAUAGCUUUAGGGCUAGCGUCGACAUUAGAGAUUCUUGGAGGUAGAGCACUGUUUGGGUGAGGGGUCCAUCCCGGAUUACCAAUCUCAGAUAAACUCCGAAUGCCAAUGAAUUAUGGUCGGCAGUCAGACUGCGAGUGCUAAGAUCCGUAGUCGAAAGGGAAACAGCCCAGACCACCAGCUAAGGUCCCAAAAUAAUUGUUAAGUGGAAAAGGAUGUGGGGUUGCACAGACAACUAGGAUGUUAGCUUAGAAGCAGCUAUUCAUUCAAAGAGUGCGUAAUAGCUCACUAGUCGAGUGACCCUGCGCCGAAAAUGUACCGGGGCUAAAACAAUUUACCGAGGCUGUGGAUACCUUUAUAGGUAUGGUAGGAGAGCGUUCUAUGUGUGAUGAAGGUAUACCGUGAGGAGUGCUGGAACGCAUAGAAGUGAGAAUGCCGGUAUGAGUAGCGAAAGACAGGUGAGAAUCCUGUCCACCGUAAGACUAAGGUUUCCAGGGGAAGGCUCGUCCGCCCUGGGUUAGUCGGGACCUAAGGAGAGACCGAAAGGUGUAUCCGAUGGACAACAGGUUGAUAUUCCUGUACUAGAGUAUGUAGUGAUGGAGGGACGCAGUAGGCUAACUAAAGCAGACGAUUGGAAGAGUCUGUCUAAGCAGUGAGGUGUGAAUUGAGUCAAAUGCUUAAUUCUAUAACAUUGAGCUGUGAUGGGGAGCGAAGUUUAGUAGCGAAGUUAGUGACGUCACACUGCCAAGAAAAGCUUCUAGCGUUUAAACAUACUCUACCCGUACCGCAAACCGACACAGGUAGUCGAGGCGAGUAGCCUCAGGUGAGCGAGAGAACUCUCGUUAAGGAACUCGGCAAAAUGACCCCGUAACUUCGGGAGAAGGGGUGCUGACUUAAAGUCAGCCGCAGUGAAUAGGCCCAAGCAACUGUUUAUCAAAAACACAGCUCUCUGCUAAAUCGUAAGAUGAUGUAUAGGGGGUGACGCCUGCCCGGUGCUGGAAGGUUAAGAGGAGUGCUUAGCGUAAGCGAAGGUAUGAAUUGAAGCCCCAGUAAACGGCGGCCGUAACUAUAACGGUCCUAAGGUAGCGAAAUUCCUUGUCGGGUAAGUUCCGACCCGCACGAAAGGCGUAAUGAUUUGGGCACUGUCUCAACGAGAGACUCGGUGAAAUUUUAGUACCUGUGAAGAUGCAGGUUACCCGCGACAGGACGGAAAGACCCCAUGGAGCUUUACUGCAGUUUGAUAUUGAGUGUCUGUACCACAUGUACAGGAUAGGUAGGAGCCUAAGAGAUCGGGACGCCAGUUUCGAAGGAGACGCUGUUGGGAUACUACCCUUGUGUUAUGGCCACUCUAACCCAGAUAGGUGAUCCCUAUCGGAGACAGUGUCUGACGGGCAGUUUGACUGGGGCGGUCGCCUCCUAAAAGGUAACGGAGGCGCCCAAAGGUUCCCUCAGAAUGGUUGGAAAUCAUUCGCAGAGUGUAAAGGUAUAAGGGAGCUUGACUGCGAGAGCUACAACUCGAGCAGGGACGAAAGUCGGGCUUAGUGAUCCGGUGGUUCCGUAUGGAAGGGCCAUCGCUCAACGGAUAAAAGCUACCCUGGGGAUAACAGGCUUAUCUCCCCCAAGAGUUCACAUCGACGGGGAGGUUUGGCACCUCGAUGUCGGCUCGUCGCAUCCUGGGGCUGUAGUCGGUCCCAAGGGUUGGGCUGUUCGCCCAUUAAAGCGGCACGCGAGCUGGGUUCAGAACGUCGUGAGACAGUUCGGUCCCUAUCCGUCGCGGGCGUAGGAAAUUUGAGAGGAUCUGCUCCUAGUACGAGAGGACCAGAGUGGACUUACCGCUGGUGUACCAGUUGUCUUGCCAAAGGCAUCGCUGGGUAGCUAUGUAGGGAAGGGAUAAACGCUGAAAGCAUCUAAGUGUGAAACCCACCUCAAGAUGAGAUUUCCCAUGAUUAUAUAUCAGUAAGAGCCCUGAGAGAUGAUCAGGUAGAUAGGUUAGAAGUGGAAGUGUGGCGACACAUGUAGCGGACUAAUACUAAUAGCUCGAGGACUUAUCCAA
rnacentral:rRNA from 1 species